CCAACUUCAAGAUCCUUGCAUCUACUACCUGUAUACCUUAGCCCUCCAAUAAAGCUGCACUCUCAUGUGGUUGUACUUAGGUAUUUUCAGGCACUGUCUUCACUACCUUUGCCAGAUCAUCAUAAAGUUCCCACAUACAGUACAUGGAGCUCUUCGGCAGUAGGCAGUGUAAUGUCCAAGACCGUGUUUGGUUGAGCUAGCCUUGAAAGCGAUCACUCCUUUUAAGGGUCGCCAAAUUUGGGAGGUGACUUGGUUCAGGAUCUCCAAUAUCCAUCAAUUCCGAUGCCUUUGCUGACCUCCAUACAGCCGGCUCCAUCCUGCCCUCACACAGCUCUUUUGAAAUUUGAUCCAUUCCUCAAAAGGGACUUCAAUCUGAAAACAUGAGCAGCUGCCUACUCCUGAAGAAAUAGAGCCAGAGUCAAACUCAUGACCAGAUGUUAUGUCUGUUUAACUUUACGAAAGUGUACACAGCUUUUGGAGACAUCUUGUUUUCCAGCUGCUGACUUAAUUCAGUCCAAAUAGCAGCAGCAGGAGUGGCUAUUUUGCCAUUUAGAAGGAUGGCCUCUUUUGAAUUGCAGACAACUGCAAAAAGGGAAUCCCUGUCUACUGAUGGCUUUCGAGGUAUCUCGUUGAAGGAUAAAAAGAAUUUGAUUAGCAUUAAUACAAAUAUUCUGACAUAUAGAAUUCUGCUACAACUAAAAACUUCAGUUUAAAUUACUGUUCUUCCCUAAAUCAAUAUGCCUUUUAUGCUUAAUUGUAAUUAUAGUCUGUUUUUUGGUUAUUGCACAUAUAGCAUU